GACGUAGGAUGCAAGCGUUGUCCGGAAUUAUUGGGCGUAAAGAGUUCGUAGGCGGUUGCCUAAGUCUGAUGUUAAAGGCCUGAGCUCAACUCGGGUAUGGCAUUGGAAACUGGGCGGCUAGAGUGUGGUAGAGGUAUCGGGAAUUCCUGGUGUAGCGGUGAAAUGCGUAGAUAUCAGGAGGAACACCGGUGGCGAAGGCGGGUCUCUGGGCCGAUAUCGACGCUGAGGAGCGAAAGCGUGGGGAGCGAACAGG
rnacentral:rRNA from 1 species